rnacentral:tRNA from 1 species
GGGCCCUUGGCACAGUUGGUAGCGCGUACGCUUCGCAAACCGUGAUUGCGUAAGGUCGUGGGUUCAACUCCCACAGUGUCCA